UACGUAGGGGGCUAGCGUUGUCCGGAAUCAUUGGGCGUAAGCGCGUGUAGGCGGCCCGGUAAGUCCGCUGUGAAAGUCGGGGGCUCAACCCUCGGAAGCCGGUGGAUACUGUCGGGCUCGAGUACGGAAGAGGCGAGUGGAAUUCCUGGUGUAGCGGUGAAAUGCGCAGAUAUCAGGAGGAACACCAAUUGCGAAGGCAGCUCGCUGGGACGUAACUGACGCUGAGACGCGAAAGCGUGGGGAGCAAACAGG
rnacentral:rRNA from 1 species